GAACAAAGUAAGAGAUAAAAAUGCAACUCAUAGAAUCAAAACAUUAUAGAUGAAAUGGAGAAGUACAUUUUCAAAGCCAACAUAUAAAUAAUAAAUAGAGAAAAUUUAUAUUAUUUUUUAACAUAAAAAUAACAAAAUAAAGAAAUAGUGAAUGCAAUAUAAAUUAAAUUAAUAAAGAAAAUUUUAAUAUAUUUUACAUAAUGCUUCUAUGCGUACGUGUAUAUAUAUAUUGAGGAAGAAAGUUAACAAUGUGCAGGUGUUGUUGAAGUUGUAUAAAGCUUCAAGGCAUUUGCUCUCAACCAGAGUUUGAGACCCCAUGACAGCAGGUUGAAAUUU
rnacentral:misc_RNA from 1 species